UUAGUGGCAGACGGGUGAGUAAUGCGUAGGAAUCUACCUAGUAGUACGGAAUAGCCAUUAGAAAUGGUGGGUAAUACUGUAUAAUCCCCGAGGGGGAAAGAUUUAUCGCUAUUAGAUGAGCCUACGUUAGAUUAGCUAGUUGGUGAGGUAAUGGCUUACCAAGGCUAUGAUCUAUAGCUGGUCUGAGAGGACGAUCAGCCACACUGGAACUGAGAUACGGUCCAGACUCCUACGGGAGGCAGCAGUGGGGAAUAUUGGACAAUGGGCGAAAGCCUGAUCCAGCUAUGCCGCGUGAGUGAAGAAGGCCUUCGGGUUGUAAAACUCUUUCA
rnacentral:rRNA from 1 species